UUAGCUAGUUGGUGAGGUAACGGCUCACCAAGGCGACGAUGCGUAGCCGACCUGAGAGGGUGAUCGGCCACACUGGGACUGAGACACGGCCCAGACUCCUACGGGAGGCAGCAGUAGGGAAUCUUCCGCAAUGGACGAAAGUCUGACGGAGCAACGCCGCGUGAGCGAAGAAGGUCUUCGGAUUGUAAAGCUCUGUUGU
rnacentral:rRNA from 1 species